rnacentral:rRNA from 1 species
ACGGAAUAGAUACCCCGGUAGUCCACGCCCUAAACGAUGUCUACUAGUUGUCGGGGAUUCAUUUCCUUGGUAAACGCAGCUAAACGCGUGAAAGUAGACCGCCUGGGGAGUACGGCCGCAAGGUUAAAACUCAAAGGAAUUGACGGGGACCCGCACAAGCGGUGGAUGAUGUGGAUUAAUUCGAUGCAACGCGAAAAACCUUACCUACGCUUGACAUGCCAGGAACUUUCCAGAAAUGGAUUGGUGCCCGAAAGGGAACCUGGACACAGGUGCUGCAUGGCUGUCGUCAGCUCGUGUCGUGAGAUGUUGGGUUAAGUCCCGCAACGAGCGCAACCCUUAUCCUUAGUUGCUACGCAAGGGCACUCUAGGGAGACUGCAGGUGACAAACCGGAGGAAGGUGGGGAUGACGUCAAGUCCUCAUGGCCCUUAUGUGUAGGGCUUCACACGUCAUACAAUGGUCGGUACAGAGGGUCGCCAACCCGCGAGGGGGAGCCAAUCCCAGAAAACCGAUCGUAGUCCGGAUUGCAGUCUGCAACUCGACUGCAUGAA